GAUGAACGCUGGCGGCGUGCCUAAUACAUGCAAGUCGAGCGAACAGACGAGGAGCUUGCUCCUCUGACGUUAGCGGCGGACGGGUGAGUAACACGUGUAUAACCUACCUAUAAGACUGGGAUAACUUCGGGAAACCGGAGCUAAUACCGGAUAAUAUAUUGAACCGUAUGGUUCAAUAGUGAAAGACGGUUUUGCUGUCACUUAUAGAUGGAUCCGCGCCGCAUUAGCUAGUUGGUAAGGUAACGGCUUACCAAGGCAACGAUGCGUAGCCGACCUGAGAGGGUGAUCGGCCACACUGGAACUGAGACACGGUCCAGACUCCUACGGGAGGCAGCAGUAGGGAAUCUUCCGCAAUGGGCGAAAGCCUGACGGAGCAACGCCGCGUGAGUGAUGAAGGUCUUCGGAUCGUAAAACUCUGUUAUUAGGGAAGAACAAAUGUGUAAGUAACUAUGCACGUCUUGACGGUACCUAAUCAGAAAGCCACGGCUAACUACGUG
rnacentral:rRNA from 1 species